CUACGGGAUGCUCCAGUGGGGAAUAUUGCACAAUGGAGGAAACUCUGAUGCAGCAACGCCGCGUGGAGGAUGACACUUUUCGGAGCGUAAACUCCUUUUAUAUAGGAAGAAGAUGACGGUACUAUAUGAAUAAGCGCCGAGCUAACUCCGUGCCAGCAGCCGCGGUAAUACGGAGGGCGCAAGCGUUACUCGGAAUCACUGGGCGUAAAGAGCGUGUAGGCGGAUUAAAAAGUCAGAAGUGAAAUCCUAUAGCUUAACUAUAGAACUGCUUCUGAAACUCUUAAUCUAGAAUAUGGGAGAGGUAGAUGGAAUUUCUGGUGUAGGGGUAAAAUCCGUAGAGAUCAGAAGGAAUACCGAUUGCGAAGGCGAUCUACUAGAACAUUAUUGACGCUGAGACGCGAAAGCGUGGGGAGCAAACAGGAUUAUACCCGGGUAGUC
rnacentral:rRNA from 1 species